UGGGGAAUAUUGGACAAUGGGCGAAAGCCUGAUCCAGCCAUGUCGCGUGUGUGAAGAAGGUCUUCGGAUUGUAAAGCACUUUAAGUUGGGAGGAAGGGCAGUAAGCGAAUACCUUGCUGUUUUGACGUUACCGACAGAAUAAGCACCGGCUAACUCUGUGCCAGCAGCCGCGGUAAUACAGAGGGUGCAAGCGUUAAUCGGAAUUACUGGGCGUAAAGCGCGCGUAGGUGGUUCGUUAAGUUGAAUGUGAAAGCCCCGGGCUCAACCUGGGAACUGCAUCCAAAACUGGCGAGCUAGAGUAGGGCAGAGGGUGGUGGAAUUUCCUGUGUAGCGGUGAAAUGCGUAGAAAUAGGAAGGAACACCAGUGGCGAAGGCGACCACCUGGGCUCAUACUGACACUGAGGUGCGAAAGCGUGGGGAGCAAACAGG
rnacentral:rRNA from 1 species